AGAGCGAACGCUGGCGGCAGGCUUAACACAUGCAAGUCGAGCGGGCGUAGCAAUACGUCAGCGGCAGACGGGUGAGUAACGCGUGGGAACAUACCUUUUGGUUCGGAACAACACAGGGAAACUUGUGCUAAUACCGGAUAAGCCCUUACGGGGAAAGAUUUAUCGCCGAAAGAUUGGCCCGCGUCUGAUUAGCUAGUUGGUGAGGUAACGGCUCACCAAGGCGACGAUCAGUAGCUGGUCUGAGAGGAUGAUCAGCCACAUUGGGACUGAGACACGGCCCAAACUCCUACGGGAGGCAGCAGUGGGAAUAUUGGACAAUGGGCGCAAGCCUGAUCCAGCCAUGCCGCGUGAGUGAUGAAGGCCCUAGGGUUGUAAAGCUCUUUUGUGCGGGAAGAUAAAUGACGGUACCGCAAAGAAUAAGCCCGGCUAACUUCGCGCCAGCAGCCGC
rnacentral:rRNA from 1 species